rnacentral:misc_RNA from 1 species
UGUAUUGUCUAUUUUAAUUUGGGAUCCUCAUGGAUUAGAUUGGCAUUCUGGAGUAAGAGAGAGAAUUGCUGGCAUUGAUAUUGUAAAAUGCAUGAUAUGAAAAUGCCACAUCCCAAAGUGGGGUUCAAUUUGUAUCUUGAUCCUGGCCUGAAAUUCUUUCAGAGUGAAAUUCCUUACAAUAGUGUAUUUCACAAUAUAAUAUGGCAAGAGCCAAGACUGGCA